UACGUAGGGUGCGAGCGUUGUCCGGAAUUACUGGGCGUAAAGAGCUCGUAGGUGGUUUGUCGCGUUGUCCGUGAAAACUCACAACUCAAUUGUGGGCGUGCGGGCGAUACGGGCAGACUUGAGUACUGCAGGGGAGACUGGAAUUCCUGGUGUAGCGGUGAAAUGCGCAGAUAUCAGGAAGAACACCCGUGGCUAAGGCGGUUCUCUAGUACGGUACUGACGCGUGAGACGCGAAAGCGUGGGGAGCGAACAGG
rnacentral:rRNA from 1 species